ACCCUCUUAGUAUAUUGUACAAGUGAUUUCCACUCACUAAGACUUAGCCUUGCCCUAAGAGGGGGUA
rnacentral:tRNA from 1 species